UGUUGGCAGUUAGUUUCAUGUCCGAAACAGAGGCAGUUUACGGCCUUAACCCAGACAAUAAUGGGAAGAGAUCACUGAAAUUAAGUGAUGUCCGAAGGAAUAUCAGGAGCAUAUGCGCUACCAUGAACGAUAUUUGCCAAAGGGAAAGAGAAGAAAUACAGGAUUUUAAUCAGUUAAAGAUGUAAAUAGAUUGUUGGUUGAGUUAAACCGAUGACUACAUCUAAACGUGUUUAUGGAUUGCAGAAUGAGUUAAGCCGACUACAACAUUUCAGAGAUUACAGUCGAAACCCUAUUGUAAAAUCAAUAAAAUCGCGAAAAAUUA